UACGUAUGGGGCGAGCGUUGUCCGGAUUUAUUGGGCGUAAAGGGCUUGUAGGUGGUUUGUCGCGUCUGUCGUGAAAUCCUGUGGCUUAACCAUGGGCUUGCGGUGGGUACGGGCAGGCUUGAGUGCGGUAGGGGAGACUGGAAUUCCUGGUGUAGCGGUGGAAUGCGCAGAUAUCAGGAGGAACACCGGUGGCGAAGGCGGGUCUCUGGGCCGUUACUGACACUGAGGUACGAAAGCGUGGGUAGCAAACAGG
rnacentral:rRNA from 1 species